CGGUGAUGGAGGAGCACUGGAGGAGAGCAGGAAGAACUGCCACGGUUAACCAGUCACCACCAAUCUCCCUAAUGAAGAACCACAGUGCAGCAGCAGAGGUCCCCAUGAAAGCGAGUUAACAGAAUGAAAAGAGCACUGCUUCCUGGAGCCCGUUCAGGAAGGAGGAGGCUGCCAGACCCAAUGCGCGCAGCAUUGAACGCCAGAGGUAGAGCGAGGAAAUGGGGCGAGCGCGGAUGUGAAAUCUGCACGGCGGGAUAAAAGAUGGCCUGCUUUCCUGGAAAACACAGCCUCCUGUUCAGCGCUCACAUUUUUCUCUUCAUCACAACGGGUUCGGAGGCUUUUCUUCCAAAAAAAAAAUAAAUGUUCUGCCUGCUGCACUCCCAAUUUUGCAUGGGUGCUGUUACGAAGCUCCAUCCAGGUGACUGGCCUGUGCCUUCUGUUUGCUUCUGAACAUCCCAUUUCAAAUGCCUCUUAUGGGUUUCUAUGAUAUGUAAGUCUGUUAGAUGGAUAAACUAUUCCUGAUCUUCCAGGGCAGUAAACCUCACAGCUCCCCUGACUCGGUCUGAGAAAUUUCCAUUGCUUGACAUAUUAAAAAUAUAUGGA